UACGAAGGGGGCUAGCGUUGUUCGGAAUUACUGGGCGUAAAGCGUAUGUAGGCGGAUCGUUAAGUCGGGGGUGAAAUCCCGAGGCUCAACCUCGGAACUGCCUUCGAUACUGGCGAUCUUCGAGUCCGGGAGAGGUGAGUGGAACUCCGAGUGUAGAGGUGAAAUUCGUAGAUAUUCGGAAGAACACCAGUGGCGAAGGCGGCUCACUGGCCCGGUACUGACGCUGAAGCACGAAGGCCAGGGGAGCAAACGGG
rnacentral:rRNA from 1 species